UCGGGGACGGGCAGAAGCAUCUGGAGAAAAGGAGAGCAAAGCUAGAGAGAGAAAGAAGAGAGAAAGAGAGAUAAAAGAGAAAAAUGAGAGAAAAAUGGUGUAUGCCCAAGAAAGGUGAGGGAGACUGAGGGAAUUUGAAAAUUCUUCCUUGAGGAAACUUUGCCCAAAUAUUUUAGCAGAACAUAGAGGAAGCAAGAAGGAAAGAAGAAAACCAAAAAAAGAAGAGAAAAAUGAGAACGAAAGCUCACGGCCAACCAAGGGAGAACCUGCGGGCUGAAGUAUAGGGAAUAUGUAGAUUAUGUAGUAUCCGCACAGCAAAUACAUUUGAUGAAACAAAGGAAGAAAGAAUAAAUUAAUGAAUGAAGGAAAGAAUGAAAAGCUGGGUAAAAGUAACGGGUGAGUUUUUGACUUUUCCUGGUGGUGGGACCUGGGACCCAGUUCAUACAUGCGCUCUUCAUUACACUGAUUACAUUCAGCAGUCUGUUCCGGCAAUUAAAUGGGGAAAACAUACGCGAUCAAUUCUGGACGUUGGGUGUGGUGUAGCAAGUUUUGGAGGUUACUUGUUUGAAAGAAAUGUCCUGACAAUGUCUUUUGCACCAAAAGAUUAGCAUGAGGCUCAGGUUCAAUCUGCACAGGAAAGCGGAAUUCCUGCCAUUUCCAGCCAGAGUCUUUGAUCUCUUUCACUGUGCACGUUGCAGAGUUCCCUGGCACAAUGAAGGCGGUCUGCUUCUUUUGAAGGUUGACAGAGUUCUGAGACCUGGAGGUUACUUUGUCUGGUCUGCUACCCAGUGUACCAGCAGCUGGAAGAAGAUGUGGAAAUCUGGAAGGCAAUGCCUGCAUUGACAAAAUCCAUGUGUUGGGAACUUGUGACAAUCAAAAAGGAUAAGCUCAAUGGCAUAGGUGCUGCUAUCUACCAUAAACACACUGACUGCUAUGAUAAAAGAGAACAGAAUCAACCUCCAAUGUGUAAAAACGAUGAUGACCCUAAUGCUGCAUGGUAUGUACCGCUGCAAGCAUGUAUGCAUAGAGUGCCUACUAAUCCAACUGAGAGAAGGACCAUAGGUUAGAGACACCUUCUUACUGGGUAAACAGUUCUCAGAUGGGAAUUAAUGGGAAACCAGCUCCUCAAGAUUUCUCAGCAGAUUAUGAACACUGGAAACAAGUAGCGACCAAGGUAUAAAUGAAUGCAUUAGGAACCAGCUGGUCCAAUGUCAAAAAUAUAAUGGACAUGAGAGUUGUUUAUGGAGGAUAUGGAAAAAGAUAGAUGCUAAGUAUGCAUCCGAAAGAUCAAACUGUGAGACAAUCAGCAAAAGAAUGAGAUAGAGUAUACUUAAUGCAUGCAGGUUUUGUACUUUCUUUUCUCUCUUUUUGUUUUUGUUUCUUAUGGUUGGAGCUAAUCCUCUCCUUUCUCAUAAA